rnacentral:lncRNA from 1 species
CUUUUGAGAUUAAUGAGAAUAGAAUUUUCUAAAUUCAAGAAACUAUUCUCUCUUGAAAGUCACAAGGCUAGAGAGUCCAAAGACUCCCUCUAGCCACCUUCCAACACACUACCUCAUUCUUCCAUUUUCCAUUUUACCAUUGUGCUUUCUCUCUCAUCCACAGCCUUACUCCUCCACGCAGAACCAGUCCUUUUUCUGCCACCUUAGCGCAUGCGUCAGCGCUUCGCUCUCUCCUCAGUACAUUUUCAUUUCGCAGACACACAUUCCACUCUCAUUUUCCACAUACCACGAAACAUUCCUCUGCUAGGGUUUCACUCUCAGCGUCUUCGAGAGCAUUUCUCUCUC